rnacentral:rRNA from 1 species
CCAGACUCCUACGGGAGGCAGCAGUGGGGAAUAUUGCACAAUGGGGGAAACCCUGAUGCAGCGACGCCGCGUGAGUGAAGAAGUAUCUCGGUACGUAAAGCUCUAUCAGCAGGGAAGAUAAUGACGGUACCUGACCAAGAAGCCCCGGCUAACUACGUGCCAGCAGCCGCGGUAAUACGUAGGGGGCAAGCGUUAUCCGGAUUUACUGGGUGUAAAGGGAGCGUAGACGGCCAUGCAAGUCUGAUGUGAAAACCCGGGGCUCAACCCCGGGACUGCAUUGGAAACUGUGCGGCUGGAGUGUCGGAGAGGCAAGUGGAAUUCCUAGUGUAGCGGUGAAAUGCGUAGAUAUUAGGAGGAACACCAGUGGCGAAGGCGGCUUGCUGGACGACGACUGACGUUGAGGCUCGAAAGCGUGGGGAGCAAACAGGAUUAGAUACCCCCGUACA